rnacentral:rRNA from 1 species
CCUUCGGGUGGCUGCAGUGAGGAAUAUUGGUCAAUGGGCGUAAGCCUGAACCAGCCAAGUCGCGUGAGGGAUGAAGGUUCUAUGGAUCGUAAACCUCUUUUAUAAGGGAAUAAAGUGUGGGACGUGUCCUAUUUUGUAUGUACCUUAUGAAUAAGGAUCGGCUAACUCCGUGCCAGCAGCCGCGGUAAUACGGCGGAUCCGAUCGUUAUCCGUAUUUAUUGGGUUUAAAGGGUGCGUAGGCGGCCUUUUCAGUCAGCGGUGAAAGUCUGUGGCGCAACCAUAGAAUUGCCGUUGAAACUGGGGGGCUUGAGUAUGUUUGAGGCAGGCGGAAUGCGUGGUGUAGCGGUGUAAUGCUUAGAUAUCACGCAGAACCCCGAUUGCGAAGGCAGCCUGCCAAGCCAUGACUGACGCUGAUGCACGAAAGCGUGGGGAUCAAACAGGAUUAGAUACCCGGGUAGUC